AUUGCUGCAGAGAUAAUGGCAUCAGGAUAGCUCCAAAAAAGAAAAAGAACCGCAUCAGGAAGAAACUCUCCUGCCAUGUCAUCUUGCCCAGACCUUCCAGUGAGACAGACUUUCCCAACACCAUCGAGGACCAUCCCUCCUCUACCAAAAACAUUGCCACUGUUUCCAAAGAGCUCUCCAGGCAUCUAGGCGUGUUCAUUUAGGAGUAUUGGCAUUUGGGACUGAGCUCUUCAGUGUUCAUGCACCGUCUCUCUUUGUGGCACUGGUUAUGUACGUGUAAGUAGUA